rnacentral:rRNA from 1 species
UACGUAGGGUGCGAGCGUUGUCCGGAAUUACUGGGCGUAAAGGGCGCGUAGGCGGCCUGCUAAGUCGAACGUGAAAUCCCCGAGCUCAACUCGGGAACUGCGUCCGAUACUGGCAGGCUUGAAUCCGGGAGAGGGAUGCGGAAUUCCAGGUGUAGCGGUGAAAUGCGUAGAUAUCUGGAGGAACACCGGUGGCGAAGGCGGCAUCCUGGACCGGCAUUGACGCUGAGGCGCGAAAGCCAGGGGAGCAAACGGG